rnacentral:rRNA from 1 species
CGAGCGGACAGAAAGGGAGCUUGCUCCCGGAUGUUAGCGGCGGACGGGUGAGUAACACGUGGGUAACCUGCCUGUAAGACUGGGAUAACUCCGGGAAACCGGAGCUAAUACCGGAUAGUUCCUUGAACCGCAUGGUUCAAGGAUGAAAGACGGUUUCGGCUGUCACUUACAGAUGGACCCGCGGCGCAUUAGCUAGUUGGUGGGGUAAUGGCUCACCAAGGCGACGAUGCGUAGCCGACCUGAGAGGGUGAUCGGCCACACUGGGACUGAGACACGGCCCAGACUCCUACGGGAGGCAGCAGUAGGGAAUCUUCCGCAAUGGACGAAAGUCUGACGGAGCAACGCCGCGUGAGUGAUGAAGGUUUUCGGAUCGUAAAGCUCUGUUGUUAGGGAAGAACAAGUGCGAGAGUAACUGCUCGCACCUUGACGGUACCUAACCAGAAAGCCACGGCUAACUACGUGCCAGCAGCCGCGGUAAUACGUAGGUGGCAAGCGUUGUCCGGAAUUAUUGGGCGUAAAGGGCUCGCAGGCGGUUUCUUAAGUCUGAUGUGAAAGCCCCCGGCUCAACCGGGGAGGGUCAUUGGAAACUGGGAAACUUGAGUGCAGAAGAGGAGAGUGGAAUUCCACGUGUAGCGGUGAAAUGCGUAGAGAUGUGGAGGAACACCAGUGGCGAAGGCGACUCUCUGGUCUGUAACUGACGCUGAGGAGCGAAAGCGUGGGGAGCGAA